rnacentral:rRNA from 1 species
UACGUAGGGUGCGAGCGUUGUCCGGAUUUAUUGGGCGUAAAGAGCUCGUAGGCGGUUUGUCGCGUCGGCCGUGAAAUCUCCACGCUUAACGUGGAGCGUGCGGUCGAUACGGGCAGACUUGAGUUCGGUAGGGGAGACUGGAAUUCCCGGUGUAGCGGUGAAAUGCGCAGAUAUCGGGAGGAACACCAAUGGCGAAGGCAGCUUGCUGGGCUGAUACUGACGCUGAGGCGCGAAAGCCAGGGGAGGCGAACGGG